AGACCAUAAUGUGGACAACUCCUCAACAAAUUCUUGAACCAUUCCAACAAUCAUACAAAGUUUCAUUCACUUGUUGAAGAAACCCUGCUAUAACAUUUCUCAACUU
rfam:Ricinus communis cultivar Hale ctg_1100012359431, whole genome shotgun sequence.